rnacentral:rRNA from 1 species
AGUGAACGCUGGCGGUAGGCCUAACACAUGCAAGUCGAACGGCAGCACAGUAAGAGCUUGCUCUUACGGGUGGCGAGUGGCGGACGGGUGAGGAAUACAUCGGAAUCUACUUUUUCGUGGGGGAUAACGUAGGGAAACUUACGCUAAUACCGCAUACGACCUACGGGUGAAAGCAGGGGAUCUUCGGACCUUGCGCGAUUGAAUGAGCCGAUGUCGGAUUAGCUAGUUGGCGGGGUAAAGGCCCACCAAGGCGACGAUCCGUAGCUGGUCUGAGAGGAUGAUCAGCCACACUGGAACUGAGACACGGUACAGACUCCUACGGGAGGCAGCAGUGGGGAAUAUUGGACAAUGGGCGCAAGCCUGAUCCAGCCGUACCGCGUGGGUGAAGAAGGCCUUCGGGUUGUAAAGCCCUUUUGUUGGGAAAGAAAAGCAGCAGGUUAAUACCCCGCUGUUCUGACGGUACCCAAAGAAUAAGCACCGGCUAACUUCGUG